rnacentral:rRNA from 1 species
UGUAAAAUUUUAAAGGUCGAACAGACCCAAUAUUUUAGCUUCUACACCAAACAUUAAUUUUAAUCCAACAUCGAGGUCGCAAUCUUUUUUUUUAAUAUGAACUUUACAAAAAAAUUACGCUGUUAUCCCUAAGGUAAUUUUAUCUUAUAAUCAAAAAUAUUGGRUCAUUUAUUCAUAAAUUUAUGUUUUAAAAUAAAAAAAGUUUAUUAAAUUUUUUAAUCACCCCAAUUAAAUUAUUAAAGAAAAUAUAUAAAUGAAUCCUAAAAUAUAAUUUUUAUUUAAUAAUUAAACUCUAUAGGGUCUUCUCGUCUUUUAAUUUUAAUUAAGCUUUUUAACUUAAAAAUAAAGUUCUAAUGAAAUUUAAUAGAGACAGUUAUUUUUUUAUCCAACCUUUCAUUCCAGUUUUUAAUUAAAAAACUAAUGAUUAUGCUACCUUAGCACGGUCAAAAUACCACGGCCAUUUAAAUUUUCAGUGGGCAGGUCAGACCUUAAAUUAUAUACAAAAGGAC